UUUGUGAAAAGGCCAUUUUUGAAAAGGAUUUUUCUCCCUGGGUAUAAAGAGAUCCUGCCUGCUUGUUAGAGACUUGUUAGAGUUUAUAAGACUGGGCAGGAGGCUAACUUGUAGAAAUACCUUUUAUGCCACUUGAAUGUGUGGCUUGCUUAUUAUAUUCUGCCAUCCUGCCAGGGUGGCUGGUGGAGAGGAGAGAAGAGAGCAGCGUUGCCAACUGGCUAUAAAUUUCAUGAACAUCAUAAAUCUAGUAUUCCAGGCUGCGCUCCCAAGCAGGAAGGCUACAAACCAGAGCUACAAAGUCACAAUUACAAGGGGAGGUCUCCAGUGAACCUUGGAGUCACCAUGUCCUACAGGGCCCCAGCAAGCUUUGUGUGGUGCAAUCAGCUCUCCAAAGUCAUAGGCCUGCCUUGUGGAAGAGUUGAUUUCAUCAUCACUGGAUCUCAACACCCCCCUCCAAGCCAUUACAG